rnacentral:misc_RNA from 1 species
UACAAAUUGUCUUUUGAUUAUUUCAACCACUUGUGAACCAAAAAACCUUACGCUUCGGUAGCAGGCUCAACCCUUCUGGGUCAGCUGUCAGCCUGCCGGCAGCACUUAUAACUAAACUUGUUUUAAAACUUUGUCUGAACAAAACCAUUUUCGAAUGAAAAUUA